GGGCCCGCACAAGCAGCGGAGCAUGUGGUUUAAUUCGAAGCAACGCGAAGAACCUUACCUAGACUUGACAUCUCCUGAAUAGCGUAGAGAUACGUGAAGCCCUUCGGGGCAGGAAGACAGGUGGUGCAUGGUUGUCGUCAGCUCGUGUCGUGAGAUGUUGGGUUAAGUCCCGCAACGAGCGCAACCCUUAUCAUUAGUUGCUACCAUUAAGUUGAGCACUCUAGUGAGACUGCCCGGGUUAACCGGGAGGAAGGCGGGGAUGACGUCAAAUCAUCAUGCCCCUUAUGUCUAGGGCUACACACGUGCUACAAUGGUGAGAACAACGAGAUGCAAUACCGCGAGGUGGAGCCAAACUUGAAAACUCAUCCCAGUUCGGAUUGUAGGCUGAAAUUCGCCUACAUGAAGUUGGAGUUGCUAGUAAUCGCGAAUCAGAAUGUCGCGGUGAAUACGUUCCCGGGCCUUGUACACACCGCCCGUCACACCAUGAGAGCUGGUAACACCCGAAGUCCGUGAGGUAACCUUUAUGGGGCCAGCGGCCGAAGGUGGGAUUAGUGAUUGGGGUGAAGUCGUAACAAGGUAGCCGUAGGAGAACCUGCGGCUGGAUCAC
rnacentral:rRNA from 1 species